rnacentral:rRNA from 1 species
GUGAACCUGCGGAAGGAUCAUUAUUGAACUAUGUUUUCUAGUCAGGUUGUCGCUGGCUCUUCGGAGCAUGUGCACGCUUGUCUGGACUUCAUUUUCAUCCACCUGUGCACCUCUUGUAGGCGUCAGAGUCCGGGUCUGAUAGAGUGUCCAGUCGGGAGUUUUCUUCCGGAUAUGAUGGACUGCAGUGUGCAAACACGGCUUUCCUCAGUUUGGUCAUGAUAUYGUUCAUCGUUCUCCUGRAGUCUAUGUUUUCAUAUACCCUGUAGUAUGUCAAAGAAUGUUCUUGCAUGGGCUUCRUGCCUAUGAAAAUUGUAAUACAACUUUCAGCAACGGAUCUCUUGGCUCUCGCAUCGAUGAAGAACGCAGCGAAAUGCGAUAAGUAAUGUGAAUUGCAGAAUUCAGUGAAUCAUCGAAUCUUUGAACGCAACUUGCGCUCCUUGGUAUUCCGAGGAGUAUGCCUGUUUGAGUGUCAUUAAAUUCUCAACUCCUCAACAUUUUUGUGUUGRAGAGCUUGGACUGUGGAGGUGUGCUGGCCUUGACCAAGGUCGGCUCCUCUGAAAUGCAUUAGCGGAACCGUUUGCGAUCUGCCACAAGUGUGAUAAUUAUCUACACUACGGGGGAUUGCUCUCAGAGUGUUCAGCUUCCAAUCGUCUUCGGACAAACUUCUGAAAACUUGACCUCAAAUCAGGUAGGACUACCCG